CCUUAGGGUUGUAAAGGCAACUUUUAGUGGGGUAAGAAAAGGCUUAAAGGGUAAUAUCCUUGAGUAUUGACAUUACCCACAGAAAAAGACACUGGCUAACUCUGUGC
rnacentral:rRNA from 1 species